rnacentral:tRNA from 1 species
GUCCCUGUCGUCUAGUGGUCAGGAUUUCGGGUUCUCAGCCCGAAGACACCGGUUCGAAUCCGGUCAGGGAUA